AUGGGCGCAAGCCUGAUGCAGCAACGCCGCGUGAGGGAUGACGGCCUUCGGGUUGUAAACCUCUUUUAGCAGGGAAGAAGCGAGAGUGACGGUACCUGCAGAAAAAGCACCGGCUAACUACGUGCCAGCAGCCGCGGUAAUACGUAGGGUGCAAGCGUUAUCCGGAAUUAUUGGGCGUAAAGAGCUCGUAGGCGGUUUGUCGCGUCUGCUGUGAAAUCCCGAGGCUCAACUUCGGGCUUGCAGUGGGUACGGGCAGACUAGAGUGCGGUAGGGGAGAUUGGAAUUCCUGGUGUAGCGGUGGAAUGCGCAGAUAUCAGGAGGAACACCGAUGGCGAAGGCAGAUCUCUGGGCCGUAACUGACGCUGAGGAGCGAAAGGGUGGGGAGCAAACAGGCUUAGAUACCCUGGUAGUCCACCCCGUAAACGUUGGGAACUAGUUGUGGGGUCCUUUCCACGGAUUCCGUGACGCAGCUAACGCAUUAAGUUCCCCGCCUGGGGAGUACGGCCGCAAGGCUAAAACUCAAAGGAAUUGACGGGGACCCGCACAAGCGGCGGAGCAUGCGGAUUAAUUCGAUGCAACGCGAAGAACCUUACCAAGGCUUGACAUACACCAGAACACCCUGGAAACAGGGGACUCUUUGGACACUGGUGAACAGGUGGUGCAUGGUUGUCGUCAGCUCGUGUCGUGAGAUGUUGGGUUAAGUCCCGCAACGAGCGCAACCCUCGUUCUAUGUUGCCAGCACGUAAUGGUGGGAACUCAUGGGAUACUGCCGGGGUCAACUCGGAGGAAGGUGGGGAUGACGUCAAAUCAUCAUGCCCCUUAUGUCUUGGGCUUCACGCAUGCUACAAUGGCCGGUACAAUGGGCUGCGAUACCGUAAGGUGGAGCGAAUCCCAAAAAGCCGGUCCCAGUUCGGAUUGAGGUCUGCAACUCGACCUCAUGAAGUCGGAGUCGCUAGUAAUCGCAGAUCAGCAACGCUGCGGUGAAUACGUUCCCGGGUCUUGUACACACCGCCCGUCAAGUCAUGAAAGUCGGUAACACCUGAAGCCGGUGG
rnacentral:rRNA from 1 species